rnacentral:misc_RNA from 1 species
AUAAAUAUAUAAGUAUAUAAAACUAUAAAAUAGCCAGCGAAUAAAAAGGUUUAAUUUUGUUGUUUGCAUUUUUUCUGGCUGCCUCUCACCAUUUCAGCCUUGAAUUGGCAUAAUCAAAAUUUCUAAGCAGAAAUAUUAGGCAUAAAUUGAGUGUAAAGAAUUGUUUAUCUUUAAAUAAACAGCUGGCGCAAUGCGGAUAAAAACUAAAUAGAAAAAUAGUUUAAGAAAUUCAACAUUUGGAAAGACAAAAUAAAAAAUGCAAUUAUUGACUAUAUAAAACAAAACAAUACAAUUAUAAGCAAUAUGUAACUACUAAUAUACUUGAACAAAUCAAUAUAUAUAUAUUUUUAUAUCAACAAUCAUAUGUUUAACGAAAGAAACAAACAAGGAAUAUAAGAAAAAUCUGAACAUACACAGUGUUUACGAACGAAACUUAUGCAGGUUUGUAAAUAAAAAUGGAAAAAUUGUUUGAUUGGACUUACCAUCGCUCAAUACUACUUCGGCUUGGCUUGGAAUUGGCGCCUGUUGGGUUUCUAUUCUCAUCACUUGGUGUUC